rnacentral:rRNA from 1 species
UACGUAGGGGGCAAGCGUUGUCCGGAAUCAUUGGGCGUAAAGCGCGUGUAGGCGGCUUCGUAAGUCCGUUGUGAAAGUCCAGGGCUCAACCCUGGAAUGCCGAUGGAUACUGCGGAGCUAGAGUCCGGAAGAGGCGAGUGGAAUUCCUGGUGUAGCGGUGAAAUGCGCAGAUAUCAGGAGGAACACCAAUGGCGAAGGCAGCUCGCUGGGACGGUACUGACGCUAAGGCGCGAAAGCGUGGGGAGCGAACAGG